rnacentral:rRNA from 1 species
UGGGGAAUUUUGGGCAAUGGGCGCAAGCCUGACCCAGCGACACUGCGUGGGUGAUGACGGUCUUUGGAUUGUAAAACCCUUUUAUGGAGGAGUAAGGCGGGAAGGAGGAAAUGCCUUUCCGUUUGACAGUACUCCAUGAAUAAGCCCCAGCCAACUACGUGCCAGCAGCUGCGGUAAUACGUAGGGGGCAAGCGUUGUCCGGAAUUACUGGGUGUAAAGGGUGUGCAGGCGUCUCCCUAAGUUGAUUGUGAAAGCCCGAAGCUCAACUUCGGAACGGCAGUCAAUACUGGGGGGAUGGAGGUUAUGGGAGGGAAGUGGAAUUCUCGGUGUAGCGGUGAAAUGCGUAGAUAUCGAGAGGAACACCGGUGGCGAAGGCGGCUUCCUAUCAUAGACCUGACGCUC